GAAAUGCGAUAAGUAAUGUGAAUUGCAGAAUUCAGUGAAUCAUCGAAUCUUUGAACGCACAUUGCGCCUGGUGGUAUUCCGCCAGGCAUGCCUGUUCGAGCGUCAUUUAAACCAAUCUAGCCUUAUGGUUAGGUCUUGGGCCUUCGCCUCUGGGCGGGCCUUAAAAUCAGUGGCGGUGCCCUUUGGCUCUAAGCGUAGUAAUACUCCUCGCUAUAGACGUCAGGCGGUGUCUUGCCAGCAACCUUAAUUUACAAAGGUUGACCUCGGAUCAGGUAGGGAUACCCGCUGAACUUAA
rnacentral:misc_RNA from 1 species